CUAUCGUCGCAGCUUUUCUUAUUUGGGGUUCCAUUCACCGUUCUCGCUUUUUCUCUUCGCACCACUGGAAGCAAGGCGCGAUCCCGUCACUGGACGGCGAGAUUCUUCGGCGGGGACGGAUUAGUACCCACUUCGGUCCCGCCCCCAUUGCAGCUUCACCGAUCGCCAAUCUCCAUCUCCCUCUCUUUGCGUGAACACUAAGCAAGAACCGAAUCGCCUGACCCCCGAAGCCUGUCGAAGAGGGGGGAGCGACGAUGUCAUGAGGGCGGCGACGGCGGAAGCGGAGGAGGCGAAGGUGGAGGGAUGGCCAGGGCCGCGGUGGAGUGGGGGAGGGGCGGCAGCAAACGCUUUUGCUCCUUCAAGCGGAUUACCGUCAUGGUUUGCUGCGUCAACAUCGUCGCGGCGCUCCUCGUGCUUCGAUCGUUCUACAGCUCUUUCUUCUUUGCUUCUUCCUCUAGGGUCAUCAGUGAUCCGUUCUCUGUGGAUCAGACCAAGAGAAUAGAAGAGUCGAUUCAGAUUCGAAGAGAAGCGGAGCCUGUGGAGCUCGUUAAAGCGGUGAGAAAACUGACGAAGGAGUUCUCCAGAGAAGCGAAGAGGGGAUUGAAGUUGCCACGAUCGCUGAAGCAAAAGCUGGUCUAUGAGAUUCUGCAUAGCUUGCAAAGUGUUAAUAAUACCAACGUGACAGAACAACGAGAUGCAGCAGAAUUAUGGCGUGUUGAGAAACUUGAAGAGGUUAAACGGGCAACACGUACAAAAUCAAAUUCAAGUAUCCCUUAUCAAGAAGCAAAGAUGUUGAAACGAGCAUUGGAGUCUAAAUGGCCAAUAUUAAUGGAAGAGAUUGGACUCUGGACGCCAGCUGAUGUUGUCAACAGUGAACACAAUGAUAAACCUGAAAAUGAGCAGGAUCCUGAAGAGAUUAUCCCUGGUCGACCACUGCCUCCGGAAUGCCAUGCUGAGCCUCAUACUGAUUACGAUGGGACUGCUGUUAGAUGGGGUCUUACCCACCAUAAAGAAAGUGCUGCUGAUUGUUGUCAGGCUUGCUUAGACCAGGCCAAUCGUGCAAAGCCAGGGCAAAUGAAGUGCAACAUAUGGGUUUACUGUCCAUCAGAGUAUGGGUGCUAUUCACCUGAUAUAUACGAACACAAACAUCAAGAGUGCUGGCUAAAGCAGGCUGAAGAACCUCGGGUGAACUUUAAAGGCAAGUAUUCAGAGUCAUACAGGACCGUUCAUUCCAAUGCCCCUGUCGUUGUGCCAUGGAUUUCAGGUGUUGUGGGUGCAUAAACAUUACGUUCUCCUAAAUGCUGCAGCAGAACUUCCAGAAAAGGGUUCAGAGCCACAUCACAUGAUAAACAGACUGCCUGCCUCCAUCCAUUUACAAUGGCAUUAAAAUUAUCUGGCUGUUGUUUCAUCCUGUUGCCGGCGAUUUUUCAAUAUGACAGUCUUCUGAUAUGUGAAUCUUAUUUAGAAUUCUAGACCCGGGCUUGGUCUAGCUGUAUUCCCCACCUAAACCGGCUCAUGUUCCUUCCUUCCUUCCUUCAAGGUAUGUCAUAUUUGAGUUAUAUCAAUGUUAAUUUCUCUUGUAAGAUGUGUUAUCCAACGAUAUUAUGUGCUUUCAUGAGGAUUUAAUUCCAUUGUAGUAAUGGAUUAUUAUCGUUGUUAGUUAGAAUCUGUUAAUAAAAUCAUGUACUGUGUGCUCUCUCGCUCUCACUCUCACUCUCAGUUUGACAAGGGCCGAAGGCAUGAAACGACGCCACGCCCUCGUUUUCCGAUGGGUACGGGCAACGGCUUCUCCCCUUUCCUCUACCUGAGCAAGGGUGGCCUGCGUCAAACGCCUGCCUCUUCGGCGUCACCUCCAAGGACGUCGUCAUCGACCUCGCCACCUGCCUCGUCGUCCCGAGCUUUGCUGGGACGUACAUGAAAAAGGAGGAGGAGAAGCAGAAGCUGCCCAUCCUCAUUCAUCUACAUGCAUGGCGGCGGCUUCGUCAUCGGCUCGCCCUUCUCCUCGACCCACCACGACUUUGUCCACUCCCUCGUGGCCCGCGCCGGCGUGCUUGCCGUGACGUUGGACUACCGCCUCGCGCCCGAGCACCCGCUCCCCGCAGACGACGACGACUCCAUGGCGGCCCUCAGAUGGGUGGCCGCGCACGCCGGCCGGCGCGGACGGCAUAGUCAGCGGCGCGAGCGUCGAGGGGCUGGUGUUCAUCCACCCGUACUUCUGGGGCAAGGACGCAGUGGGCGGGGACGCGACGGAGCCAUGGCUUAGGGAGAAGCUUGAGAGCUCGUGGGGGUUCACAAGCUGGUGGCCGAUGGGGUUCGCGGAGGAGCCGCGAGUGAUCCUCCAUCAAAAUCUUGGUAUCAUUCUUUUAUCAAAAUUCAAUUUUAUAACCUCAGUUUUACUAUUUAUAAUUUUUUGUUUAUUUUUUUUUAAAUAUUCUUAAGAUACCUCACAAUGUAAAUAUUUUUAACUUUAUUUAAUUUCAACAUAUUCU